UAAAGGUCGAACGGGGAGAUUCAGUAUCCAGUCCUCACUGCCGCUUCGCGCCGCCGGGUACAACUUGGGAUCGCCCCUCGGGGUGGUCCCGGGCCCGCGGCRCGUCUCGCGCGCGGGAGGUGGAGCGCACUUCUCCCCUAGUAGGACGCCGCGACCCGCUGGGUGUCGGUCUGAGGUCCGGGUGCGAGCCCGGGACGCGGUUCGCCGCGCCCCGGAGCCCCGGUGUCCCGACCGACUGCCCGGCGGUAGAACGUGAGGAAUCGGCCCGCGGGACCUCUCGGUCACGCGCUCGUGCCCCUUGCGAGCGUCCGGUCGCGUUUCCCGUCGUGCGGACUUGUCCGCCGCGGGCCGGCCGGCGUUGUCGGCUUGGGGAUUUCUCGGGCAGCGGCCUUUAUCCUGUCUGCGGCGCUCACAACUGGGCGGCCCACCCGGCCCGUCUUGAAACACGGACCAAGGAGUCUAACAUGUGCGCGAGUCAUUGGGUCCCACUACACCCAAGGGCGUAUUGAACGAAAAGGCCUCCUCGGGGGCCGAGGGAAGAUGGGGUGGCGCUCGCGUCGCCCCCGCAUUCCCGGGGCGUCUCGUCCUACCGYCGCUCGUCGGCGGAAGGUGAGGCGCACCAAGAGCGCACACGUUGGGACCCGAAAGAUGGUGAACUAUGCCUGGCCAGGACGAAGUCAGGGGAAACCCUGAUGGAGGUCCGUAGCGAUUCUGACGUGC
rnacentral:rRNA from 1 species